rnacentral:lncRNA from 1 species
CAUAUUUUAUCAAAUUUUCUCGGGGUCCUUAAACUUAGCUUCUCAUUCCUAGGAUUCUAUAUACCUUUUCAAUGGAAUCACAAUCAAAAUCUUUUAAAAAAAAUUCAAACGGUUCUAAUUGGGGGAAAGUUAACACCGAUACAUGAUUAAAGUAAAACAAACAAAAGAAAAUCAAAACAAAAAAACAAAAGAUAAGAAGCUAUAAAAGAA